GAUCCUGGCUCAGGACGAACGCUGGCGGCGUGCCUAAUACAUGCAAGUAGAACGCUGAAGGAGGAGCUUGCUUCUCUGGAUGAGUUGCGAACGGGUGAGUAACGCGUAGGUAACCUGCCUGGUAGCGGGGGAUAACUAUUGGGAAACGAUAGCUAAUACCGCAUAACAGCAGUUGUUGCAUGACAACUGUUUAAAAGGUGCAAUUGCAUCACUACCAGAUGGACCUGCGUUG
rnacentral:rRNA from 1 species